GCCCAGAUGGCGAAAUUGGUAGACGCGCUAGGUUCAGAUCCUAGUGGUGGAGACACCGUGGAGGUUCAAGUCCUCUUCUGGGCACCA
rnacentral:tRNA from 1 species